UACGUAGGGUGCGAGCGUUGUCCGGAAUUACCGGGCGUAAAGAGCUCGUAGGUGGUUUGUCGCGUUGUCCGUGAAAACUCACAGCUUAACUGUGGGCGUGCGGGCGAUACGGGCAGACUGGAGUACUGCAGGGGAGACUGGAAUUCCUGGCGUAGCGGUGGAAUGCGCAGAUAUCAGGAGGAACACCGGUGGCGAAGGCGGGUCUCUGGGCAGUAACUGACGCUGAGGAGCGAAAGCGUGGGGAGCGAACAGG
rnacentral:rRNA from 1 species